GUCAUACUGGGGGCGUCUUCUCCUGAAGUCCACAACAAUCUCCUUCGUCUUCUCCACAUUCAGAGAGAGAUUGUUGUGUUCACACCACGAGGCCAGGCGGCUCACCUCGCUCCUGAACUCAUAAUUCUCAAGCAGACAUUAAGCCCAUGUCCAUCAGCUAACAGCAAAGUGAUGUAAGUCUGAGGCCCACAUUCCCUCCAAGAGGCUGGCUGCAGAUUCAGAGCUGCCUCUCCAAAGCCUCUGUGACCAGGUGACACAAGCACACCUGUCCUUGUCCCGUUGUGUCAGCACCAGUGGAGGAGCUUCUACAACUGACGUCAGGAGAGGUCCAACUAUCUGUAUACUAUUUACAGAGUGAAAGACGGGCACAUCACACGGAUCCGUCCCCAGGUGACUUCAGCCAUUCCCAGUUCAGCUGGACGUCAUCAUGCUCCUACCACCUCUCAUACUGUCCUCUCCAGGUCUUCCCUCGUCUUCGUCCUGGCUGUGGCUGCAGCUUGGUGGCUGAUGGUCGUCUCUGUGCUGCUGUGGCCCCAAGGUGUCAUAUUUUACCCUUCACUACAACACAUCCUCCCCCAAGUUGUUCCCACAACACUGACGCCCUGUACAAGAGGGGCCAGAGUCGCCUCCAUCUCCUGAGGAGACUGAGGUCCUUUGGAGUUUGCAGACCCCUGCUCAGGACUUUUUUUAUGACUCUGUGGCAGCCUCUGCUAUC